GCAUAUCAAUAAGCGGAGGAAAAGAAAAUAACAAUGAUUCCCCUAGUAACUGCGAGUGAAGAGGGACAAGCUCAAAUUUUAAAUCUGUCGGGUUCUCCUGACCGAGUUGUAAUUUGAAGAAGCGUUUUCUGCGCUGUUUGAUCAGCCCAAGUCUUAUUGAAUGAGGCAUCAUGGAGGGUGAUAAUCCCGUUCGGCUGAUCAUUGUGCUAUACGAUACGCUCUCAAAGAGUCAAGUUGUUUGGGAUUGCAGCUUAAAAUGGGAGGUAAAUUUCUCCUAAGGCUAAAUAUUGGCGAGAGACUGAUAGCGAACAAGUACCGUGAGGGAAAGAUGAAAAGAACUUUGAAAAGAGAGUUAAACAGUACGUGAAAUUGUUGAAAGGGAAACGAUUGAAGCCAGUCGUACCGGCGGGUAAUCAGCCUUUCGGGUAUGAUUCUGUGGAGUGUGAGGAGCUAAACACCUUCAUGCCUGCAUAUUCGUGCUCUUGGGUGUACUUGCUCGUGUGGUAGGUUAACAUUAAUUUCGGACGUCAUAAAAUGGCUGGAGGAAUGUAGCUUCGAUCUCGUAUUGAAGUGUUAUAGCCUUCGGUAGAUGUGGUGAUCGGGAUUGAGGAUUGCAACGAAUACCUUCAGGGCUGCUCCACCUGGCCUCUCAUCGGCAUCCUGGCGGCGACAGCUUGCUGACGUUGUUAGGAUCAGCCUUCGAACAGGCUAGAGUGUGAGCAAAUUCGUUAAGGAUGUUGACGUA
rnacentral:rRNA from 1 species